rnacentral:rRNA from 1 species
CCUACGGGAGGCAGCAGUGGGGAAUAUUGGACAAUGGGCGAAAGCCUGAUCCAGCCAUGCCGCGUGUGUGAAGAAGGCCUUCGGGUUGUAAAGCACUUUCAGUGGGGAAGAAAGCCUUGGGGCUAAUACCCUCGAGGAAGGACAUCACCCACAGAAGAAGCACCGGCUGAACUCCGUGCCAGCAGCCGCGGUAAUACGGAGGGUGCGAGCGUUAAUCGGAAUUACUGGGCGUAAAGCGCGCGUAGGCGGUCUGAUAAGCCGGUUGUGAAAGCCCCGGGCUCAACCUGGGAACGGCAUCCGGAACUGUCAGGCUAGAGUGCAGGAGAGGAAGGUAGAAUUCCCGGUGUAGCGGUGAAAUGCGUAGAGAUCGGGAGGAAUACCAGUGGCGAAGGCGGCCUUCUGGACUGACACUGACGCUGAGGUGCGAAAGCGUGGGUAGCAAACAGGAUUAGAUACCCCUGUAGUC